UACGUAGGGUGCAAGCGUUGUCCGGAAUUAUUGGGCGUAAAGAGCUCGUAGGCGGUUUGUCGCGUCUGCUGUGAAAACCCGAGGCUCAACCUCGGGCCUGCAGUGGGUACGGGCAGACUAGAGUGCGGUAGGGGAGAUUGGAAUUCCUGGUGUAGCGGUAGAAUGCGCAGAUAUCAGGAGGAACACCAAUGGCGAAGGCAGAUCUCUGGGCCGUAACUGACGCUGAGGAGCGAAAGCAUGGGGAGCGAACAGG
rnacentral:rRNA from 1 species